UCGAGUUUGGGAAUUGUCUUCCUAU
rnacentral:piRNA from 2 species